rnacentral:lncRNA from 1 species
UAGGAGUGGAAGGGUUCUGAGAACAUAGAGAAGUAGAAGGAAACUUAGAACAUAGAAUAUUAAGACGGGAAGGGUCCUAAGAAGAUAGAACAGAGGUGGAAGGAACCUUAGAAUCUACAUAAUGUUAGAGCUAGAAGGGCUCUGAGAAUAUAGAACAUAAGGGUUGGAAAGGACCUUAGAACAAAGAAAAAGAAAAUUAGAAGUAGAAGGGCCCUGAGGGAAUAGCGUGAGAGUUGGAAGAUACCUUAGAAGGUAGAAUUUCAGAUCUAAAUGGAUCCUUAGUAUGUGGAGAAUCAGAGAUGAAAAGAUUAGACUAUUCAUUGGUGGAGAACAUCAGAGGAGGAAGAGAUCUCAGAAACCAUAGAUUCCAAGUGAUCUCACUUUAAAGGGGAGUAAACUGAGGACAAAGAGAAGAAAUAUGUUGUAUUUUUUUUUUAAACUUUACCUUCUGUCUUAGAAUCAAUUAAAUAUUGGUUUCAAGGCAGAAGAGUAGUAAGGGCUAGGCAAUAGGAGUUAAGUAACUUGCCCAGGUUCACAUAACUAGGAAGUAUCGGAUCCAUAAUUUGAACCCAGGACCUCCCAUCUCUAGGCCUGGCAGUAUAUAUCCACCUGACUACCCUGACAUGUUACAUCUUAAAAAGAGUGAGUAGCAGAGUGGAAACUUGAAUCCAGAUCUCCUGACCUUAAGAAUAUACAUGCUAGCUGUGUGACCCUGGGCAAGUCACUUACCCUGUUUGCUUCAAUUUCUUCAUCUGUAAAAUGAGCUAGAGAAGGAAAUUACAAACCACUCCAGGAUUUUGCCAAGAAAACCCCAAAAGAAGAUUUGGAUGUAAUUAAAAAGCAACUGAACAACAACAAACCAGGUGGGGAAGACAUAGGCAGCAAUGAAGGAGAAUGGAAAGAUCAGAAGGAUAUGAGCCCUUGAGAGUAGAGACUGAUUCAUUGGUUUUACUUGACUCCCCAGUGCCUGCCACUACACCAAGCCCAUGGUAAGUACUUAAUUAAAAA